GCACAAGCGGUGGAUCAUGUUGUUUAAUUCGAUGAUACGCGAAGAACCUUACCAGGUCUUGACAUCCCCCGCGAUGCUUUAGAGAUAAAGCGGAGGUAUUCGGGGAGACAGGUGGUGCAUGGUUGUCGUCAGCUCGUGUCGUGAGAUGUUGGGUUAAGUCCCGCAACGAGCGCAACCCCUAUUGCUAGUUACCAUCAUUAAGUUGGGGACUCUAGCGAGACUGCCAGUGAUAAACUGGAGGAAGGUGGGGAUGACGUCAAAUCAUCAUGCCCCUUAUGACCUGGGCUACAAACGUGAUACAAUGGCUGGAACAAAGGGAUGCGAAGCAGUGAUGUGGAGCGAAACCCAUAAAACCGAUCGUAGUCCGGAUCGCAGUCUGCAACUCGACUGCGUGAAGUCGGAAUCGCUAGUAAUCGUGAAUCAGAAUGUCACGGUGAAUACGUUCCCGGGCCUU
rnacentral:rRNA from 1 species